rnacentral:rRNA from 1 species
UACGAAGGGGGCUAGCGUUGCUCGGAAUCACUGGGCGUAAAGGGUGCGUAGGCGGGUUUUUAAGUCAGGGGUGAAAUCCUGGAGCUCAACUCCAGAACUGCCUUUGAUACUGAAGAUCUUGAGUUCGGGAGAGGUGAGUGGAACUGCGAGUGUAGAGGUGAAAUUCGUAGAUAUUCGCAAGAACACCAGUGGCGAAGGCGGCUGACUGGUCCGGAUCUGACGCUGAGGCGCGAAAGCGUGGGGAGCAAACAGG